UGGCUCAGGAUAACGCUGGCGGCGUGCUUAACACAUGCAAGUCGAGCGGAGAAGUAGGAAGGAAUCCCUUCGGGGAGGAAUUCUAGUUCUUAGCGGCGGACGGGUGCGUAACACGUGGGUAACCUGCCCUUAUCACCGGGAUAACACACUGGAAAAGUGUGCUAAUACCGGAUAACAUCAACUUAUGGCAUCAUAAGAUGAUCAAAGCGUUAGCGGAUAAGGAUGGGCCCGCGUCUGAUUAGCUAGUUGGUAGGGUAACGGCCUACCAAGGCAACGAUCAGUAGCCGACCUGAGAGGGUGAUCGGCCACACUGGAACUGAGACACGGUCCAGACUCCUACGGGAGGCAGCAGUGGGGAAUAUUGCACAAUGGGCGAAAGCCUGAUGCAGCAACGCCGCGUGAGCGAUGAAGGCCUUCGGGUCGUAAAGCUCUGUCCUAUGGGAAGAAUAAUGACGGUACCAUAGGAGGAAGCCCCGGGGU
rnacentral:rRNA from 1 species